UUUUUUCAAAAGAAAGUCUACAUUUCAAUAAUAUGUAUUCAAGUAAGGUUCUUGUUGUAAAAUACAGACAAUUUAUUUACGUACUCAAAAAAUAUUCAUGUUCUUCAACAGUGUUGUGAAUCUUUUCUUUUCAACAUUCAAGAUACUAGUACAUUCCUAUGUUUUUUUAGGAGAGGUAUGGAGUUUUGAGAAAAAAAAAAUAUUUGAUCCAGUUUACUGGCCAUCUUGAUAGUUCUAAAGGUUGUGUCAUACUAUGUCAUAGUUUUAGAUAAUUCGAUAUUUUAUGAUGUUGUUAAUGUACCUCAAACUUACUCUUUAUAAGAUGUUUGAAUAUUUCAAGCAAAUUGUCCAAAGAAUUUUACAAUUAUGCAAAUUUGUUACUUGAACUAUGCACUGUUACAAGCUAUUUUAUCUAUGAACUAUUUACUUGCAUAUCAUUUGUAGUUAAUAAAUUGUAAGACGAGA
rnacentral:misc_RNA from 1 species